rnacentral:rRNA from 1 species
ACGUAGGGACCAAGCGUUGUUCGGAUUUACUGGGCGUAAAGGGCGCGUAGGCGGCUUAACAAGUCACUUGUGAAAUCUCUGGGCUUAACCCAGAACGGCCAAGUGAAACUGUUAUGCUAGAGUGCAGAAGGGGCAAUCGGAAUUCUUGGUGUAGCGGUGAAAUGCGUAGAUAUCAAGAGGAACACCUGAGGUGAAGACGGGUUGCUGGGCUGACACUGACGCUGAGGCGCGAAAGCCAGGGGAGCAAACGGGAUUAGAUACCCCGGUAGUCCUGGCCCUAAACGAUGAAUACUUGGUGUCUGGAGUUAUUAGUGCUCCGGGUGCCGUCGCUAACGUUUUUAGUAUUCCGCCUGGGGAGUACGCUCGCAAGAGUG